GGAAUUGUGGCUCAGUGUAGAGCACUUGCCUAGCAUGUUUGGGGCACUGGGUUCAAUUCUCAGCAUCUCA
rnacentral:tRNA from 1 species